AGUCUCCCAUCAACUAACGGAAGUCAUAACCCCAUCCAGACGGAACUUCCCAAACGGAAGACAUUCAUGACCUCACUAAAGCAAAGUGGUGAGCACGCUAGAACAAGCUUGAAAGUGUUACAAACACUCACCUACAACUGCACUGAUCCAGAUCGGCUUGAUCAAUUGGCUACUAAGCUUGACACCCUCAUCACAGAGUUUCGUGCAAUUCUACCAAAAACUGAGGGAUUGAUUCUUUGGCCUCAAGCACGUUUCUCUGCAAGAAAGAAAGCCCAACAAAUCAAACACAAGUAUCUGAACCUCACUUCAAGGCUAAAACGUGGACGCCCGAAGUCUUAUUGGAAGUACAGAAACAGAGUGGGACAAAAAGCUGAUGCUCUCCGUAAGAAAGACGAGAGAGCACCUGAAAGUAAUACUCAUUGUUCUGACAGAGUCCUGUUAAACACAUGGUAAAAGCACUAAGACAGGCAAAGGAGAAAUUACUAGAGGAAAACGCUCCAUCUACUCUCAGCCACAAAGCAG